rnacentral:piRNA from 1 species
UUCGGUCAAAGUGAGUAGAAC